GGAUUGGAACCUGUGAACCCUGGGCCACUGAAGCGGAGCAUGCAAAGUCAACCACUACACCACCAGGCUGGCCCCUUUCCUUCAAUGUAAAAUGCAUCAUUCAGCAUGUUAUAUACAACCAUGAGAAUCAUGUCUGUUGGGGCUUCAAAAACUAAAUCAACCCAAAUAUAUAACAAAAGAAGCAUGAGAGAAGUGUGAAAAUCAAGAAUGGAGUUUUCAUUUUCUGAAUUCAAGAUUCCUCUAUUUUCAGAAGAUCAAAUGAGGAACUGUCACCGUGCAGGGAACAGCUGUUUUCUGUGGCAGAUGGGAAGAAGGGAUGUGGCCAAUGACAAUUAUCCCUUAAAGCUGUCCCCCAGAAUUGACACGUCACUUCUGCUCCUACCUCUUUGAAUGAACUAGUCUCAUGCCCAUGCUGACUCCAAGGGGCCAAGAGAUGCAAUCCAACUGUCUGACUGGGACGAACCAGGAAUGGUUUCUACAAGAAGAGGUGAUCAACUGAGAAAGAGAAUCAAUUACGGCGUCUCUCUCUAGUGAUGGAGACCCGACGUAGAGAACGGAAUGGUGUUGGUGUGGAGCCAGAAAGGCGUCUUCUGAAGUGCAGUUGGGGCUGAAAUGGUUACCUGUCCACUGUGACUCUUCCGUGUCUAUCCAUGCUCCUCAUCUGUUGGGUUGAGUCACUGUGGAGAAAUGGCUAAGGCAUUAGCAUCUAUGUGAGCCAGACUCUCACCUCUAACCUGGGCAUCGAGAUGGGACCAUGGGAAUGAAGGCUUGCCAACGAAGUGCACAUAGAAUUCUCACAUUUCUCUUCUGGGCCAGGUGGCAAGAUAAGAGCGUGACUUCUGUUUUUGACUGAGUUGUGUUCCCCCAAAAUCCAUAUUGUUGGAGUCCUAACCCCAGGACCUCAGAAUUUGACUGUAUUUGGAGAUGGUGUUUUUAAAGAGGUGAUUAAAGUAAAAUGAGGUCAUCAGGGCCUGAUCCAACAGGAUUGGGGUCCUUAUGAGAAGAGGAGAUGAGGACACAGACACGCACAGAGGGAUGACCAUGUGAAGACACAGGGAGAAGACGGUGUCCACACGCCACGGAGAGUGGCCUCAGGAAAAACCAGCCCUGCCCUCACGUGGAUCUCAGACGUCAAGCCUCCGGGAUGGUAAGACAUAAAUAUCUGUGGUUCUUGGUUAUGGCAGCCCUAGCAGGCUAAUGCACUUUCUCCAUCCUCUCUCCUCUGAUUAAAUAUCCACAUCCUGGUGAACUUGGAGGCAAGGGUUACAGAUGUCAUAGCCACAAAAUGGAAGGAUGCAGGGUCCCUGAACCAGCUCUUGAGGAGCGUGACCAGCCAACCAGAAACAGCCAUUUUGGAUUUAACAACAGCUAUUUGUUAGCAUCACUGAGAUUUUGGAUUCAUUCGUUAAAGCAGCUCAGCAUUACCCUAACUAACAGAGCGUGUUCUCCAUGCACACGGCGCUCUGCUUUGGUCAAGUGAAGCAAGAUCUGGUGACCACGCGUGGCACACCUUUGCCAUACAUUUCCUGUCAAAACACUUUUUCCCUGUGUCCUGUGAGGGUCGUCUUCUCUGCAGGAUGACUACGUCCAGCUGUGGUGCUCGGGACCUUGGUGUUUCUGUCUGAUUAACGAGGGUUCCCGUUAAGCUGGAGUUCAGCUGUCUUCACUGCUAGACUUGCUUUGUGAGACUCUCUGAGGUUGUUAAUAAGGUAAGAUCUUUGGGUCUCAAGACAAAGAGAGAAGAUAAUUUAUUUUCUACAGAGUUUUAUUUCCUUAAGCUCUAUCUUCCAUUACAUUGUAAAGGGCAUUUCAGCAAAUGAUGUAUGAAAUUAAAAAAAAAAUCUGUAUGAUUUCACAGCAAAGGGCAUGCAUAUCUAGAGAACAACUCUGAAAUGAUGUAGAAAAAUAGAUAUCUAUUUUUCUUUCUAAAAAUUAAAGGCUUAUGAUUUGGAUAAAUUCAUGUUAAUUUGCCAAACAAGAUGUGGUUAUUAUGUGCGAGGCAUUGUAUAGAUUCUCUGGUAAAUAAAGUAUGGAUUUAUUCUUAAGAAGUGUGCGGUUCUAUUAUCCAGUAGGGGGAGGAGUUAGUCACUCAUUAAGUUUUACAAAGGCAGAUGAUGGUGUCAUCUUGUGAGGUAGUGAGAGCAAUGGGAAGGAUACAGAAGGAGAAACAUGUGGAAAGGGCGAGUGACUAUUUUGGUUUUAAAGUGGAUACUGUUUAAGACUUCUAAGGCAAUUUGGAGCGUGAAUUCAUUAUUAAGGUGUCCUAGGUUGAAGAGUGGCACCUUAAAAGGUAUCUCCAAAUCCUACCAGAACCUGUGAAUGCAAACUUAUCUGGAAAUAGGGUCUUUGCAGAUGAUCCUAGUGAAGUAAAGGAUCUGAGAUGAGGUCAUCCUGGAUGAAGGUGACCCCAAAUCCAGUGACAGUGUCCUGAUC